rnacentral:tRNA from 1 species
GGUUUAUUCGUUGCGGCAACAAGAGAUUUUGAAAAUCUCCAUUAGAUGUUCAACUCAUCUAUAAACCU